UGCCUUACACAUGCAAGUCGAACGGUAACGCGGGGCAACCUGGCGACGAGUGGCGAACGGGUGAGUAAUGUAUCGGAACGUGCCCAGUUGUGGGGGAUAACUGCUCGAAAGAGCAGCUAAUACCGCAUACGACCUGAGGGUGAAAGCGGGGGAUCGCAAGACCUCGCGCAAUUGGAGCGGCCGAUAUCAGAUUAGGUAGUUGGUGGGGUAAAGGCUCACCAAGCCAACGAUCUGUAGCUGGUCUGAGAGGACGACCAGCCACACUGGGACUGAGACACGGCCCAGACUCCUACGGGAGGCAGCAGUGGGGAAUUUUGGACAAUGGGCGCAAGCCUGAUCCAGCCAUGCCGCGUGCGGGAAGAAGGCCUUCGGGUUGUAAACCGCUUUUGUCAGGGAAGAAAAGACUCCUGUUAAUACCGGGGGUUCAUGACGGUACCUGAAGAAUAAGCACCGGCUAACUACGUGCCAGCAGCCGCGGUAAUACGUAGGGUGCAAGCGUUAAUCGGAAUUACUGGGCGUAAAGCGUGCGCAGGCGGUUAUGCAAGACAGAUGUGAAAUCCCCGGGCUCAACCUGGGAACUGCAUUUGUGACUGCAUGGCUAGAGUACGGUAGAGGGGGAUGGAAUUCCGCGUGUAGCAGUGAAAUGCGUAGAUAUGCGGAGGAACACCGAUGGCGAAGGCAAUCCCCUGGACCUGUACUGACGCUCAUGCACGAAAGCGUGGGGAGCAAACAGGAUUAGAUACCCUG
rnacentral:rRNA from 1 species